GACGAACGCUGGCGGCGUGCUUAACACAUGCAAGUCGAACGGAAAGGCCCUGCUCUUGCUGGUCGCUCGAGUGGCGAACGGGUGAGAAACACGCGAGUAUCCUGCCCUUGACUUUGGGAUAACUUCUGGAAACUCGGGCUAAUAUCGGAUAGGAUCUCCUGCUGCACGGUGGGGGUUGGAAAGUUUCGGCGGUUGGGGCUGGACUCGCGGCUUAUCAGCUUGUUUGUGUAGUAGUGGCAUACCAAGGCUUUGACGGGUAGCCGGCCUGAGAGGGGGACCGGCCACAUUGGGACUGCGGGACGGCCCAGACGCCUACGGGAGGCAGCAGUGGGGAGUCUUGCGGAGUGGGGGGGAGCCUGAUGCAGCGACGCCGCGUGCGGGAUAACGGCCUUCGAGUUAUAAACCACUUUCGCCUGUAACGAGGCCGGAGUGACGGUAAUGGAUAAGGAAGCAACGGCUAACUACGUG
rnacentral:rRNA from 1 species